rnacentral:rRNA from 1 species
UUUGUGGAGUGACGGCGUGCCUUUUGCUUAAUGAGUCUGCGAGUCAGUGCCGGUGGCAAGCUUAAGUCCUUCAGGGACGCAGGCGCAGGGAAACCGAGUCCGAACAGGGCGAUCAGAAGUGGCCGGCACUGGACCCGAAGCGGAGGUGAUCUACCCUUGGCCAGGAUGAAGCGUCAGUAACAUGACGUGGAAGGCCGAAC